UACGUAGGGUGCGAGCGUUGUCCGGAAUUAUUGGGCGUAAAGGGCUCGUAGGCGGUUUGUCGCGUCGGGAGUGAAAACCCAGGGCUUAACCCUGGGCUGGCUUCCGAUACGGGCAGACUAGAGGUAUGCAGGGGAGAACGGAAUUCCUGGUGUAGCGGUGAAAUGCGUAGAUAUCUGGAGGAAUACCGGUGGCGAAGGCGGCGAUCCUGGACCGGCAUUGACGCUGAGAGCGAAAGCUAGGGAGCAAGCGGG
rnacentral:rRNA from 1 species